rnacentral:rRNA from 1 species
CAAUAGCGUAUAUUUAAGUUGUUGCAGUUAAAAAGCUCGUAGUUGGAUUUCGGAUGGGACUUGCCGAUCCGUCGUUUCGAUGUGCACUGGCCAGUCCUAUCUUGUUGUCGGGGACUAGCUCCUGGGCUUCACUGUCCGGGACUAGGAGCUGACGAGGUUACUUUGAGUAAAUUAGAGUGUUCAAAGCAAGCCUACGCUCUGAAUACAUUAGCAUGGAAUAACACGAUAGGACUCUGGCUUAUCUUGUUGGUCUGUGAGACCAGAGUAAUGAUUAAGAGGGACAGUCGGGGGCAUUCGUAUUUCAUUGUCAGAGGUGAAAUUCUUGGAUUUAUGAAAGACGAACUUCUGCGAAAGCAUUUGUCAAGGAUGUUUUCAUUAA